UUUCGCAAUGCCCGAAAGGGUGACGAAGCGACGCCGCGUGGGUGAGGAAGGCCCUCGGGUUGUAAAGCCCUGUCAGGAGUUAAGAAAUGUAGGUACGCUAAUAUCGUAUCUAUUUGACAAAGGCUCCAAAGGAAGCCACGGCUAACUCUGUGCCAGCAGCCGCGGUAAUACAGAGGUGGCAAGCGUUGUUCGGAAUUAUUGGGCGUAAAGAGCACGUAGGUGGAUUUGUAAGUCAGAUGUGAAAGCCUUCUGUUCAACGGGAGAAUUGCAUCUGAAACUGCGAAUCUUGAGUAUAGGAGGGGGGAAUGGAACUUCUGGUGGAGCGGUGAAAUGCGUAGAUAUCAGAAGGAACGCCGGCGGCGAAAGCGAUUCUCUGGCCUAUUACUGACACUCAGUGUGCGAAAGCUAGGGGAGCAAACGGGAUUAGAUACCCCGGUAGUCCUAGCCGUAAACGAUGGGCACUAAGUAGAGGGGUUUU
rnacentral:rRNA from 1 species